rnacentral:rRNA from 1 species
UCCGUAGGUGAACCUGCGGAAGGAUCAUUACCACACCGAUCCAUGAUCUCCCCUGAAUUUUUUCACCAGACGCCCGUUUGGAAGACCAAAAGGCCAUGGUGGAAUAAGCUUGGCGCUGUUUGUCUGCAGCGACAAGAUAACCCCCCCUUGAAAAGAUGGAACGAUGUCACAGUGUUGUAACUGAAUGCAAGGCACGCGUGAUGUGUGUCAUUGCAAGUGAAAUGAGUGCAACUUUCAGCAAUGGAUGUCUGGGUUCUCACAACGAUGAAGAACGCAGCGAAAUGCGAUACGUAAUGCGAAUUGCAGAACGUGAAUCAUCAAGUCUUUGAACGCACAUGGCGCUUCCUCACGGAAGCAUACUUGUUUCAGUGUCAACUCGUCUCACAACCCGCACUGGGCUUUGUGGUGUCGGAGUGGCGUGGGCGCUCCGCCCAAGUCGCUUGAAGAGAGGACGUUGGAGCUCCCUGUGGCAGUCGCACUCCAAACAGUGCGUCAGACCGCGGUGUGGUAAGUUGGCGCGAGCCAAUGAACACCCCCGUGCUCUCUGACUCGCACUGGCGCUGCCCAGUUUUGGCUUUGCUCUGCAGGUGCGGCACGCUCGCACCGACAACCCCCCUGCGUCGGUCCUCACGGACUGACUUCUCUGACCUGAAAUCAAGUAAGAUUACCCGCUGAAUUUAAGCAUAUAACUAAGCGGAGGACAAGAAACUAACAAGGAUUCCCUCAGUAACGGCGAGUGAACCGGGAUGAGUCCAAGCCUGAAACCCGUCAGGGAUUGUGGCCUAGAGGGGGUAUUCCAGGGAUCUGGUGCGCCUAAGUGUGGUCGAAUCCACCGCCUAAGAGGGUGUCAGCCCCGUCAGCGCGCUAGUGAACGUUCGGACGCCUUCCACAGAGUCGUGUUGCUUGAGAGUGCAGCACUAAUUGGGUGGUAAAUUCCAUCUAAGGCUAAAUAUCAGCAAGAGACCGAUAGCGAACAAGUACUGUGAAGGAAAGAUGAAAAGAACUUAGAAAAGAGGGUUAAAAGUACGUGAAAUUGCUGAAAGGGAAACGCUUGAAGU